UGACCUUACAUCGCAUUGUGUUUGGUGGAAAGAUUUAUCGGUACAGGAUGGGCCCGCGGCCUAUCAGCUUGUUGGUGGGGUAAUGGCCUACCAAGGCGACGACGGGUAGCCGGCCUGAGAGGGCGACCGGCCACACUGGGACUGAGACACGGCCCAGACUCCUACGGGAGGCAGCAGUGGGGAAUAUUGCACAAUGGGCGAAAGCCUGAUGCAGCGACGCCGCGUGAGGGAUGACGGCCUUCGGGUUGUAAACCUCUUUCGACAGGGACGAAGCGCAAGUGACGGUACCUGUAGAAGAAGCACCGGCCAACUACGUGCCAGCAGCCGCGGUAAUACGUAGGGUGCGAGCGUUGUCCGGAAUUACUGGGCGUAAAGAGCUUGUAGGCGGUUUGUCGCGUCGUCCGUGAAAACUUGGGGCUCAACCCCAAGCUUGC
rnacentral:rRNA from 1 species